rnacentral:rRNA from 1 species
GUCUAAGGCCAUACCACCCUGAACGCGCCCGAUCUCGUCUGAUCUCGGAAGCUAAGCAGGGUCGGGCCUGGUUAGUACUUGGAUGGGAGAUUUUCAGAAAGACAUAAACUGCCAAAACU